CACACGAAGGAGCGGUGCGGGAACUUUCAGAUGCCACUGCACUACCCAAGAUACACCCUAGCCGAAUAUCAGACCAUGCCGGAGUGGAAACUUGAUUGCCUGCUUAAAGAGUAUGGGCUGCCAAUCACCGGAGAUGUUGAGCAGAAGAGGAACUUCGCCAUGGGAGCUUUUCUUUGGUUCCAUUAGACCUCUGGUUUAUGUUGUUUUUUAUCAUAUAAUUAUGACGCGAGGAGAUCAGGUACUGUUGUUAUGUUAGGUCAUGUACAUAUAUACCUGUUGAUCUGUUUUUGUGUGUAUGCUUGGAUUGUGCUGUAAAAUAGAAGGGAAUUAGUGCACAGGCACGAUUCUGGAAGGAGAAGUUUAAUUAAUCAAGUCUGGGAAAUGAGUGUAGAGAUUUGGUGAUGUGUGUAGGAGGUCAGUGGACUAAUCUGCUGUUUAGUGAUUAGUUAAUAUAAUGAUGUGGGUGUUAUCAUGUAGGCUCUCGCUUUUGUCGUCUGAUCAAUAAUCAUUGUGAUCUCCGCUUGGUGCAAACGACGAUGGAAAUUAUGGUCUUCCAUUUCCUUUUUUUUUCUUUAUUCCUU
rnacentral:lncRNA from 1 species